ACUAAUCUGCCAUGUGUUAAACAAGCAUUUCUUGAUGAGCUGCUCCCACGUAGCCGGGGCCUGUGUCCACUCCUUCAUUUCCUCCCAAGUUCCUCAGCAGUGAGGCACCUACCCAGGCUUGAUCUGCCCCAGAUGUGAGUGGGCUGGAUAGCUGAGCUGGGGCGUGAGAAUCUGUGCCGGAAAACAUUGUACGUCAUGACUAAUGCUGCCGUAUGAGCUGCCAGUGCCUCUGGGAUGCAUCAGGAAGAUCUCUGUGUUGCAGGAAGCUCCAAGUCUGCUGUAUUCCUACGGUGGCUACAUGGUCAGGUUUAACCUACGGUGAGGAAGAUGAGGUUUGAGGAGCCCACACACCACGGCAUCUAUCUCUGAUUUGGCCACUGGCAAUCUAAGUAGUUGUUCUUGAAUUCAGUCCCACAGUGAUACUAAAACGGCAACAUCCCAACACAGUUAAACCAAACUCAAAUUAUGUUCUUUGUCUGUUUCUGAGCCCUUUAGGGUCCCUGGUUUUCAAGAUCUUCCUGACACCUGUGAAACUAAGAACCUUCUUCUUAAAAUGUAAAAGCAGAAUGAAGGGAUGAAAAUUGGAAGAUGUCUUUUAGACUACUGUGUACUGUCAGGUGUUACUGCCUCUCCCUGUCUUCAGUGCUGAGCUGGAGACCCAGAGUCUCACCAAAAGGACAGACUUAAAGAUACUCCAAAUGCCAGGAGACUUGCAAGAAACCCUCCAAACUCUGAGGGCUAGAAACACGGCUGCCUUCAUUGCCCUUGCAAAUAUAAUGGCUGAAUUAGCCUGAUUUUUCAAAGCAUCUCUUGGUCUCUUUUGAGCAAGAACAGAAUCGAGUACAGCAAGUACUGAGUUUGGCCAAUAUAUUUUCAGACCUACCAGUCUUUGACAGUGUCUCUGACAUACUGAUUAACACAUAUUAACUAGAAUCUCUUAAAACUCCAACCAUGUUAUUAAGUAUGUUUUAAAGGUAUAUCUUUUAUCCUAGUCUGGACUAACACUCAUGCAGAAAGCAAGAUGUUGUUUAACUGAGAGUACAAUUGCAUACAGACUACUGCAGCCUCUCACUGAAAUCAGGUAACCAUGAGCUCAAAUAGAUAACAAUGAUCAUUUUCCCCUCUCCUAAUUUCCAUAUGUGAUGGAAGUAAUUAGCCGUGUAACUGUGCACCUAUGUGUCCAGCCAAGUAUUGCUGAAAGGCUUGGAGCAGACCCAGGGAAUCAGGCUCUUAAGCUCAGCCUCCUCUUCUUUCAAGCGACAUUGGCUUCCCAUACAAAGCCUGUUAGAAUUAAGUCCUGUGGAUGUUAUUUCUGGAUUCCCAAUACGCUGUUUAUGUAAAUGAGACAAUCCUUUGAUAUCCUCUUGGUUUUACCAACAUAUUUAACACUUUUUAACCUUCAUGGGAAAAGACAUUCAUGUUAUAUCAAUAACUGGGUUUUAUGUCUUUCCUCAAGGAAUUCUUUCUCCACUUGAAAUUCAUGAUGGAGCAAUAUAGUUCCUUCAAUUCAAAUUUAAACAAUUCAUUCAGUAUUUUACACUGACUUGCUUCUCACUCUGCUGUUCAGACACAUCAAUGUUUAGCCAACUUUAAAGGGGCUUUUCCUUGCUUUAUUAGUGCUGUCUUAAGGUGCCUUCCUUUCAAACAACGCUUCUUGCAAAACCUCAGUGUCUCUUCCACUUCUGCUCUCCCUCUGGCACUCAGCAGCAAGGAUAUGAGAGCAGGGCUGCGCCUUCUUACAUUUAAAUAAAUAAGUGUUCUUGUUCCAAACAAGGUCUGAUCUAAAUAGGCCAGACAGAAGGAAACAAGUGUUGCCCUUCCCUUUUCCACAGCAAAACACUUCAUUAAUUGUUGAACUGCUAAUGGUAUUAUUCACUGUAGCUUUGCAUCUUUGAAUACAACUGAAUCAGUGACAGACUUUUCCCCUGCACAUUUCAGAGCACCAGAGAAUCCAGCACUGUUGCCAAUGAGGCUUUAUCCCAUCUGUACACAGCAUCCUGGCUCAAAACAUGCUGCAGCACCAUGCCUUGGAGAGCAAAAGGCAGUGGCAUGCCUGUCGCGACAUGUCAUUGGUACUCACUGAGUUUGCCCUUACUAGAGCCUUCUCUAUCUCCAAAGCAUCCCAAGAUCUCCUCACUAGCUCUGCCUUUCUACCGGCUCACCGACUCCCCUCGCGUCACGGCCUCUGCAGCAGCUCUGCUGUGGCAACCCUGUAGGUGCAGGGGACGGGUUGUGCAGUCUGUUUGGAAGAUGCAUGCAUAACAAUUGCUUCCCAGUGGCACAUCAUGCAGAUUUGGAGGGGGGUGAUACUAUGGAGUACCCAGAGCUUCUAUCUCUCUCCAUCAAGCCAGUCCAUCCUUCCCAAAGGUAGUGUCUGAAAGCUGCUGCAGUGCUUAGUGGAGAAGAGCCUGCUGCUUAGACUGAAAUUUCUUCCCUCUGACACAAACGGAAUCAUUUCCAGGGGCUUUCAUCUCUUUUCUACAGUACAAAUGGACUGCAGUAGUCUUCAUACCCUAAAGUCACUCUGGCAAUUCCCUUGCUUCAGCUUUUGUUUUCAGCCAACAUUACUGUAUUCCAACUGUUCCCAUUUAGUUCAAACAGCUCAGCAAAUUAUGCAAGUCUGGCACCCAGAAGAGAUUUAAAUUGUGGAGCAGCUGAAGACAACUGCUGUCUAUUCUUUCCAGUUAUCAGGUGAAUGAAUGAGAUAUCUGAGUAUUGCACAGUGAGUAUUGUACAACUGGCCCUGAAAGGUAGGAACUCAGACAUGAAAUGAGUGCCCAGGGCCAUUGGUCCUUGAGCGGUUUAGUAAUUUUAGUCUCUUUGCGGAUCUUGUUCCUGCAUUUUAGGCAUCUUGUCUACCUAAUGUAAAUAAAGAACAAAGUGUUUACUCUCUACAAAAAAAUGCAUUUUCUGCUGUUGAUUAAUAGUCUGACAUCCACUUCUAUUAAGGACCCUGUACAAUCCUCUGGAAAUGAAACUUGGCUUUGCUGCAGGUGUGGAAAGGAAUGUACUGGUGCAAUGUAAUUGCAUUACAUAUUGUUAAUGAGAGCUCUUAGCUCUUUUAUUUCUACAGCAACCAUGUUCAGGUCAACAGAAAAUAGUUUGUAUGUACAAGGCCACCUUUUGUUUUCUUCUCUGCCAGUGAUGAAGGUAAGGCCUCCCCCCUUGUGUGUGUGUGUGUGUGUGGGGGGGGUAUGCCAAGGUUACUUGAAUGCUGAUAAAGUCCUCUGCAUUUCAAUCAGUGUGUUUAAGAAACUAUUUCCCCUAAAGACUAUGUUGACACAGCCAUUGCCGUUCCCUUGGAAGAGGUGAAUGAGAAUUCCCUUGUGGCAGGCUUGCUGGACUGGCUUCAAUAUCACUAAUCAAAAAAAGGGAUUUGUCUGUCAGCAAGAAUUGCUGUGCUUCUUGAUGCUUAUGCAAGGUUGUGCAGAGCAGCGAGAGUCUCAGAACGCAUAUUCUACUGGGAAACAUGAUUAUUUCAAAUAUCCCUUCCUUCCAAAUUAGAACAUAAUGUAAAUGUUGUUUUGAAAAUAUCAAAAUAAGCUUAUUGAAGUCCUUUGUUUAGAUGUUGGUGUUUUAAUAUUUAAGGGAUUCAUAUUCAGUUGAAAAAAUCUGAAUUAAGUACUUGAUGACUCUCUCAUAUCUCAAUGAAAUCAGUGGUUCUGUGAAACAUUUCUAUUCCUAUCUGCUGGAAAAAAAAAACAGUCAGUUUUAAUGAAAAAUGAGUUACUAAAUAAAUCUGUAUUGCUGGACACUCCAGAGUACCAAAGACAUGUUUCUCCGGUGGUCAGCUCUCCUCACCAGUCGUCUUGGGUCAUUUCUGUGACAGCUGCUUUCUGUGCGGAUGGAGAAAGCCACGGCCUCUGGCCAUGACAGAAAAACUAGCUUUGCCUUAGUUCUCUCAAGCUUUUCUUCCCUGUUCAGAGAGGGAUGAGCAAGCAGUUCUUGUUGCCUGCAGGCAGUCAGGGUCUUCAUGGCAAGGUGCAGCAAUGAUGGUGGCCAGGGAGGGUGGGAAGGACGAGUGGCGCAGCCGUACAGGUCCUACCCCAUGACACUAAGCAUGGGCCCUCUUUAGCAGUAGCAAAAUGGGAGCUGUACCAGCCUUACUUUGUCUGGUGAGCAUCCUAGGGCCUCAGGGAUUUUAUCUAUAAUAUCCUCACAGCAGAUGUAAAUAACCCAGAGGCUAAAACUGAAGAGCUUCUGGCAGUUUUUUGCAGUCCUAGCAACAGUGGUGAGCUUAAGGAAAGGCUGGUUCAGAGCAGUGAUGCAAACCUCUGCCUCAGAAAUACCUGAAGGUGCCAGGUGCAUCCUGAAAUGGUUCCCUCUGCAGAGAUGUUUCACUACUUAAGUGUUGUGAAUACCAAAUUUCUCAAUUUAAAGAUUUUCCAUUUCAUCGUAUUUUUUUCUUUUCCGUUGCUGGCUUCCAGUUUUGGGAACACCUGGACACACAAAAAAACCCUGAAUCAUCUUCAAAUGAAGCCAGUUCUGGAGCUAUAAGUAAACUUCUCGAGGCUACGUGAAGAAGCCGUGUCUCUUCACCACAGGGGGCUGGAACUUCAGAGCAGCUUUGAUAUCACAGCCAGCAGCUGCAUAUCCGGCAGUGUGACGUGCCUGCAUCCUGCUCUGCUCCGUAUGGCACUGGGUGCAUCAUGAGUGCAGGGAUCCCACAGGCACGUAGUGACACAUGGAAACUUGUGGUUGAGAACACGAUUCACAGGAGGAUUACAUCCAUGCUUCAGGGCAAAUGUGUCUGCCAAAGAAGCAGGGCAAACGGCCAUGAGAGGGGACUGCUUUGGCCACCUGAUAGCAAGCCAGGACCAUGCGUCCCCAGAGCCUUGGCGGCAGCAGCGCUGCCCUCUGCAUGGGGCCAGGCAGCCUGCUCCCAACGUGCCUUGGGGCUAUUUGCUUCACUUCACUUCACACCUCUACAGCAAAGACAGCUGCUCCUGCCUAGCUUUCCUCUGCAGCCCAGUGGGGAACUAGGUGCUCCCAGGACGCAAUUAAUCCUGUCGUCAGCUCUACAGCAAAGUGGGUCAGUGACCAUUUCUCCCCACUGGCUACACAAGAGGUGCAGAGAGGUAGCUUGGAGGUGGGUGUCCGCACUGUGAAAGCAGGUGGAGUGAGUGCUGCCUUUCAUGUCCCAAACUGUGGGAACUGAUAGUCUUUGGAUGUAAUCUUACUCUAGCUAACAUCACUGAAAACGCUUUCUGUGUAUGCAUGUAAUCCUUUUUGAAACUCAGAAAGCCUGGUCUGAACUGGGAAAGCUCCAGAUUUCCCAGUUGGUACAGCUCUCAGAAAGUUUUCCUGUAUCAGAAACUACACUGGAAAAAUAAACACUAUCUUUUAAUUAA